UACGAAGGGAGCAAGCGUUGUUCGGAUUUACUGGGCGUAAAGAGCGCGUAGGCGGUUUAGUAAGUUAGAAGUGAAAGCCCCGGGCUUAACUCGGGAAUUGCUUUUAAGACUGCUAGACUUGAGUAUGGAAGAGGUUGGUGGAAUUCCCAGUGUAGAGGUGAAAUUCGUAGAUAUUGGGAAGAACAUCAGUGGCGAAGGCGGCCAACUGGUCCAUAACUGACGCUGAGGCGCGAAAGCGUGGGGAGCAAACAGGAUUAGAUACCCUGGUAGUCCACGCCGUAAACGAUGAGAGCUAAACGUUGGGUUGUUUACAACUCAGUGUUGCAGCUAACGCAUGAAGCUCUCCGCCUGGGGAGUACGGUCGCAAGAUUAAA
rnacentral:rRNA from 1 species